rnacentral:rRNA from 1 species
CAAUAGCGUAUAUUAAAGUUGUUGCAGUUAAAAAGCUCGUAGUUGGAUUUCUGGUGGGAGCGAUCGGUCUGGCGCUUAGCGCGAGUACUUGCAUCGUCUCCGGCCAUCCUUGGGGAGAGUCUGUCUGGCAUUAGGUUGUCGGGCAGAGGAUCCUCAUCGUUUACUGUGAAAAAAUUAGAGUGUUCAAAGCAGGCUUAUGCCGUUGAAUAUAUUAGCAUGGAAUAAUAUGAUAGGACUUUGGUACUAUUUUGUUGGUUUGCGCACCAAAGUAAUGAUUAAUAGGGACAGUUGGGGGUAUUCGUAUUCCGUUGUCAGAGGUGAAAUUCUUGGAUUUACGGAAGACGAACUACUGCGAAAGCAUUUACCAAGGAUGUUUUCAUUAA